rnacentral:lncRNA from 1 species
UAAAACUCAAAACAAUCAUCUAUCCCUGUUAUACAACUCUCGAUUCUAUGAAAUUACUGAAAUACCCCUACCUCUAGAAAUUGCUAAAACACUCCUAAAACAUAAAUUACCCCUGAAAUGACGAAUUACUAAACUGCCCUCAAUGAUAGCGGGGAUGUAGUCGUCGACUCUCAUGCUUCUGAUUGGUACCUCCCUUGGCCGGUAAGGUUACUGGAAAAUAAAGAUAACGGCAGGUCAGGUUCAUGGGUUAUCAGGUCAGUUUCAGGUCGAGUUUGAUAGCUUUCUCUCUGUCCCCCCUCAUUCUCAAUUUAUAGAAUUGAUUCCUUCUUAUUUUUUUUUAAAGCAUAAUACAAAUUAGGCUAAUGGUUGUGCUCGGGUUUUCUUGAUUCGUUUCAUGACGAGUUUAAACAAAUUCAAACACAGCCCAUUCAUUAAACAAAUAAAAUUUAAUCAUCCACACCCAUAAUUAAUGUUAGAUAAUUGAGUUGCAUCAACUUCGCCAAUAACAAUUUGUAAUAAGUCCGACAACUUUAAAAUUAAUGUCAAAGAGAAAAAAUUAAUAAUACACAAAUAGAAAAAUUAAAGUGCAUAUGUUACAAAGGUUUUGGUCCAUUGUCCUUAGUUACCGUUAUUGGUAUAACCAAACAACUAUUUGUGUUGUGCACACCUAUUGAUGAUUAUUAUGGGCUAAAGUACUCUGAUUGAAUUAUUCACAGGGCCACUGAGAUUACAAGUGAUUUAUUGAAUUACUGGCCAGGUCAUCAGGAUUACAGAUGACAUAUUGAACUACUAGCUAGGUCACCAAGGGUACAAGUGACUUAUUAAACUACUGGCGGGGUCACCAGGAGCAUGACAUACCAGGAGUAUAAGUGGCACUAUGUAACAUUAAAAAAAAUGAACAAAUGAAAGGUUUAUUGAUAAAUAAUUUCUUAAAUGAUUAUUUAUUGAAAACGAUUAUUACACUAUGACUUAACUGAUUAUGAGUUUUGUCAUAUGUAUAUGUUAGAUAUAAAAUGAUCACAAGUUUCUAAUUUAUGGUACUUCAUAAUGAUUAUUAUGUAUUUUAUUGUUAUUAGUAAUCUUAUACAUGAGUUUGCUUACCGAAUUGAUGGCUCACCCCUCAUCUCCAACAUUUUUGCAAAUUGAUUUUAGAAAUGUGGGCCUUCGAGUUUAGAGAAGAGAAUUUAUUAGCUGAAAACUUUGGCGUUUCUUGAUGAAUAAUUUGUAGCUACUUUGGUUAUUCCUUAGAGGCGGAUUUUGUUUUGGAGGAUUAUUGUAUUAUUUAUUGUUUUUGAGACUAUGCUUUGAC